rnacentral:rRNA from 1 species
GAUGAACGCUGGCGGCGUGCCUAAUACAUGCAAGUCGAGCGAAUGGAUUAAGAGCUUGCUCUUAUGAAGUUAGCGGCGGACGGGUGAGUAACACGUGGGUAACCUGCCCAUAAGACUGGGAUAACUCCGGGAAACCGGGGCUAAUACCGGAUAACAUUUUGAACCGCAUGGUUCGAAAUUGAAAGGCGGCUUCGGCUGUCACUUAUGGAUGGACCCGCGUCGCAUUAGCUAGUUGGUGAGGUGACGGCUCACCAAGGCAACGAUGCGUAGCCGCCCUGGGAGGGUGAUCGGCCACACUGGGACUGAGACACGGCCCAGACUCCUACGGGAGGCAGCAGUAGGGAAUCUUCCGCAAUGGACGAAAGUCUGACGGAGCAACGCCGCGUGAGUGAUGAAGGCUUUCGGGUCGUAAAACUCUGUUGCUAGGGAAGAACAAGUGCUAGUUGAAUAAGCUGGCACCUUGACGGUACCUAACCAGAAAGCCACGGCUAACUACGUGCCAGCAGCAGCCGCAG